GACCUCAAGCAUGACAACUUCACUCCUCAAGAGGAAGAGCACAUCAUUGACCUGCACAAGGCCAUAGGAAGCAGAUCCUCUCCGACUACGGAAACAUUAGCGGCCUCCCAAGCACUGCCGGGAAUCAUCCGUUCUCGUCCUUUUUCAAGCAAUACCCGAAUCAAACUCUUCCUGCAUCACAGGAACUCCAUUCACCAAUGUGAUGAUGAACCCUAAUAUUAAUGGACAAGGAUCAGAGUACAAUUCCUCUGCUAGCACAGUUGGCUUUUUGGCUCAUCGGUUUCAAGAGAGUGUGCAAAUUGAGCACCCGCACAUUUUAAAUGAAGUAACCUCAUCUUGCUCCUCAUCAUCCUCUCCUCGUGCCACAGAUCAUCAAUUAAUUUCGCAACCAACUUACGUGUGCCGGGAAGCACACGAGGCUCAGAUUACGCCGUCCUCUUCUUCGUUUAAUCGGAGGGAGUAUCUUCGGUACGAUCCUUUUACAUCAGCUGAUCAUUUGAAGCAAGAACAAGAUUUGCAUGGGAUGUGAUUACACUUGGAGUGCAAGGCAGCUCCGAUGCAAUUGAGGGAUGUGAUUUUGUAGGUCAAAGGAGCUAUGGCUUGCCUGAUCACCAAACUUCUUCGACUUCCAUGUGUUCGUUUGUGGAGACAAUCUUGGAUCAAGACAGUGAGAUGCAGGCAGCUUUUCCUCAACUUUUGGAUGCUUCUUUCGAUUAUUAAUUAGUUAAACUAUUUUUUGAUAUGAGGAUAUCCUAUAAACUAUUAUAAUUUAGAAAAAAAAGAAAUCGAACUUGGAUGCAACGGGCAAACAUACUACCAUUAUACUGGCAAUAACUCACAUAUGCGUUAAUGUAGUUAAUUUCUUGUCUUA